UGUUGUAUGUGGCUGUUCAAAACCGUAGUCUCAUCUAAGUCUGCUACAAUGGCUACUCAAGAGCUUAAGAGGUUACGUACAGCGCGAGGCUAUACAAAAGCUUCCAUUACUCGCCUGUAUACAUUUUGUAAUAAUGACAGUGAUGUAGCUAGCAGUGCUUUAUCGGCGCUCGAUGCCAAAAGAGCGAGGGUGACGGAGCUCUUCAAUGAAUAUGACAAAUGUAACAAAGAAAUUCUGUCUUUGGACGAAGAGGAUGCGGAGGAUGUCGAAGACUUUGAGGAUAAAUAUUAUCAUAUACUGACAGUCCUCAACGAGGCAAUUAAUCGUAUAUCCUCGCCCUCGUCUGAAUCUCCUGCCGCCGCAUCAUGUCAAAAUAACUUUAAGGCUAAGUUGCCUACUAUAAAGAUAGAUGUGUUUACGGAUUCGUACACGUCGCGGGCGUACCAGUUGGAGCGAGAUGACACCAAGGACCCAACUAUCACCGAGUUCCUCUUGUACCUGGAGAAGCGAGCUUUGGCACUGGAGAACGCUGAGCCGUCCACGUCGGGGAAGUCUCAACACAAGGCUGUGGUAAAUGUGACAGCGACUGCCUCGACUGCCUGCAACUAUUGUCCUGCUUCUGGAGCCGGUCCCUGGGCAGCAGCAGGAGUCAGAUGAAGACCCAGCGAGUCCUCAUCCUACAAUUGUAAAUACUAAGCUUGGCUACAUCAUCGGUGGUGCUUUAUCACGACAGCAAACCAGUGACAAAAAAUGAAGGCUCAGUGUGCGAAACAGCUGAUGGGUUCUUUGCCACCUGAAAGGGUCACAGCCUGCCGAGCAUUCCAGAAAGUCGGCAUCGACUUUGCAGGUCCCAUAACAGUGAAGAAUUCUCGCGUAAGAAGAGCUCUACAGACAAAAGGCUACAUAUGCGUUUUUGUUUGUUUUGUGACUAAAGCCAUACAUCUGGAGCUCUCUUCGGACUUGACCACUGACGCUUUCCUUGCAUGUUUCAAGCGAUUUAUAGCUCGCAGAGGCCUGCCGACCGACGUUUUUUGCGAUAAUGGUGGAUGCUUUAAGGGGGCAAAGAACCAGUUAGUUGAGCUGUACAAUUUAAGUUCUUCGCAAAAUCAUCAGACUCUGGUGCAAUCAUACGCGGCACAGCAACGUAUUAACUUUCAUUUCGUGCCAAGCUACUCACCUGUGUUUGCUGGUCUUGCUGAAGCUGCUGUUAAGAGUACCAAGUACCAUUUAAAGCGCAUAUUGCAAUCUUAUGUACUGACGUAUGAACAGAUCAAUACAAUUUUAUGUCAGAUUGAGUCUACUCUUAAUUCUAGGCCACUUUUGCCUGUAAAUGCAACUGAUAUUAAUGAUUACAGUUAUUUGACGCCGGGCCAUUUUUUAAUUGGCACGUCUAUGACAUGUCUCCCAGAAGCAGACUUGACCGAGUUACCUAGUAAUAGAUUAAAGUUCUGGGAAAUCUGUAAUAAGGUCAAAGGUCACUUUUGGAAGAUAUGGCAUAAGUACUAUUUAAAUGCAUUACAAUGUCGUCCUAAGUGGCGUGAUAGCCAACCAAACGUCAGGGUUGGAUCCUUAGUAAUCAUGAGGGAGCCUAACGCUCCUCCCAUGACGUGGCCUAUGGCCAGAAUUGUUAAAGUGUAUCCUGGUGAUGAUGAUAAGGUGCGCGUGGUAGACCUUUUGGCACCGAAUAAAAAGGUGUACAAACGAUCAUUAAGUGGUUUCGCUGUGUUACCUAUAGAUUAAUUUUGUUGUGUGUAUUCUUAUGCAUUAUAUUGUAAUUGUGCAGGUUAAGUUUAAACCUUAAAAAGGUUAUUAUUUUUUUCAUUACAAACCCUCGAGUUGUAGGUAUCUAUCUUGUUACAAAACUACUCAGAAGUUAUGAGUGUUAAUUUAUUGCUUUUUCUUGUUUCUCAGCUUAUCAGGAUUUUGCUGUUAUUCUUUUAUGGAUGAUCUUUAACGCUAAUAAUAUCUUCUCUAGUUUGUAAUUAACAAAAUCAUUUUAAGACUACUCUUUAUUAUUUAGUUUUGAUUGUAAACUUGAGAUGGAUUAUGCCAUGAUGCUGGGUUUACAGUCUAUGCCUAUUUAAGUAGCAUGUUUUGGAAAUACUUAUAGUUAUUUAAGGCGAAGGUUUCGGCCCCGCCCCAGCAUGUUGGAGGAUCCAACAGAAAUUAAACCUUAUUUUUGUCUAUGUAGCGGUUGCUAUGGAAACGUUUGGUUACAAUAUAAAAAAAUGUCUUCUUGAAUACCUUCUUGAUUCAUACGUUGAUGUGAGUACAUAAAAUAAAUGGUUGUUCACCCGGCCACACAUGGAAUUAUUAUUUCUCGCCCACUAGAAUCAGCU
rnacentral:misc_RNA from 1 species